rnacentral:rRNA from 1 species
UGGGGAAUAUUGCACAAUGGGCGCAAGCCUGAUGCAGCCAUGCCGCGUGUGUGAAGAAGGCCUUCGGGUUGUAAAGCACUUUCAGCGAGGAGGAAGGUGGUGAGCUUAAUACGCUCAUCAAUUGACGUUACUCGCAGAAGAAGCACCGGCUAACUCCGUGCCAGCAGCCGCGGUAAUACGGAGGGUGCAAGCGUUAAUCGGAAUUACUGGGCGUAAAGCGCACGCAGGCGGUUUGUUAAGUCAGAUGUGAAAUCCCCGGGCUCAACCUGGGAACUGCAUUUGAAACUGGCAAGCUAGAGUCUCGUAGAGGGGGGUAGAAUUCCAGGUGUAGCGGUGAAAUGCGUAGAGAUCUGGAGGAAUACCGGUGGCGAAGGCGGCCCCCCUGGACGAAGACUGACGCUCAGGUGCGGAAGCGUGGGGCAGCAAACAGGAUUAGAUACCCUGGUAGUCCAGCGCUGUAAACGAUGUCGAUUUGGAGGUUGUGCCCCUUGAGGCGUGGCUUCCGGAGCUAACGCGUUAAAUCGACCGCCUGGGGAGUACGGCCGCAAGGUUAAAACUUAAAGGAAUUGACGGGGUCUAGCUG